GCCCUCAGAUUUCUGGGGAUGGAGGGUAUGGGUGCUUACCAACUCACAUGUUUGUGAGCUCAAUUUCUUUUGCCUUUUAAUUUAUUUUUGGCUGCGCUGGAUCUUUGUUGCUGUGUGAGGGCUUUCUCUAGUUGUGGUGAGCAGGGGCUGCUCUCUAGGUGCAGUGCUCAGGCUUCUCGCUGUGGUGGCUUCCCUUGUUGGGGAGUAAGGGUUCUAGGUGUGUGGGCUCUGCAAUUGCUUGUGAGCCCAAUUUCUUUGAAAAUCAGGUGUCCAGCCACUGUGAGCUCAAGCUGGCCAUGCUUACCAGUGGAGGGACAUACCACCUAGAGCAAGCCACUCAGCCAGAGAUCUGCAAUGGUGCAGCCACUUUGAGACCUCCUGGCCUGUAACUGCUGGCAUGAGCUCUCCCUGAAGUGUCAAGGACAUCCUAAAUUCCUAAAAUUCAAAGACCAAAUCUGGUGCCAAAUUUUUGUGCUGAGAAAUUUCUAGCUUGGGUUUGGGGAACACGGGUGGUUUCCUGGGUUCAACAAAUAAUCAAGAUUCUCUCCAGGAAGUCAUCACUGAUACCCAGGUCAGAGACUGGUGUAGGAUGCAGCACAGUAGGAACUCAGCUACAAGCCAUUGCCAAGAUCAGGAUCAUUUUACAAGAAUUACAAGAGAAAAGAGGCGGAAGUAGAGAAAGGGAGGCAGCGUUGAUCCACACUCCAACAUUACAAAGUCAGAGGGACUUCUGAUACACACCUGGGAGAACAGCCAGGACCAGCACACGAAUCUAAGACUUAGGAUCUGGUUCAGCCACUCACCGGCUCUGUGCCUGGG
ensembl:lncRNA